AGCUCAGUGGACAGAGCAGGAGCCUUCUAAGCUCUUGGUCGGGGGUUCGAAUCCCUCC
rnacentral:tRNA from 1 species